rnacentral:rRNA from 1 species
GGGUUGUGAGGUUAAGCGACCAAGCGUACACGGUGGAUGCCCUGGCAGUCAGAGGCGAUGAAGGACGUGCUAAUCUGCGAAAAGCGCCGGUAAGGUGAUAUGAACCGUUAUAACCGGCGAUGUCCGAAUGGGGAAACCCAGUGUGACUCGUCACACUAUCAUUAACUGAAUCCAUAGGUUAAUGAGGCGAACCGGGGGAACUGAAACAUCUAAGUACCCCGAGGAAAAGAAAUCAACCGAGAUUCCCCCAGUAGCGGCGAGCGAACGGGGAGCAGCCCAGAGCCUGAAUCAGCAUGUGUGUUAGUGGAAGCGUCUGGAAAGGCGCGCGAUACAGGGUGAGAGCCCCGUACACAAAAGCGCAUAUGCUGUGAGCUCGAUGAGUAGGGCGGGACACGUGGUAUCCUGUCUGAAUAUGGGGGGACCAUCCUCCAAGGCUAAAUACUCCUGACUGACCGAUAGUGAACCAGUACCGUGAGGGAAAGGCGAAAAGAACCCCGGCGAGGGGAGUGAAACAGAACCUGAAACCGUGUACGUACAAGCAGUGGGAGCCUCUCUUUAUGGGGGGUGACUGCGUACCUUUUGUAUAAUGGGUCAGCGACUUAUAUUCUGUAGCAAGGUUAACCGCAUAGGGGAGCCGAAGGGAAACCGAGUCUUAAUUGGGCGUUAAGUUGCAGGGUAUAGACCCGAAACCCGGUGAUCUAGCCAUGGGCAGGUUGAAGGUUGGGUAACACUAACUGGAGGACCGAACCGACUAAUGUUGAAAAAUUAGCGGAUGACCUGUGGCUGGGGGUGAAAGGCCAAUCAAACCGGGAGAUAGCUGGUUCUCCCCGAAAGCUAUUUAGGUAGCGCCUCGUGAACUCAUCUCCGGGGGUAGAGCACUGUUUCGGCUAGGGGGCCAUCCCGGCUUACCAACCCGAUGCAAACUGCGAAUACCGGAGAAUGUUAUCACGGGAGACACACGGCGGGUGCUAACGUCCGUCGUGAAGAGGGAAACAACCCAGACCGCCAGCUAAGGUCCCAAAGUCAUGGUUAAGUGGGAAACGAUGUGGGAAGGCCCAGACAGCCAGGAUGUUGGCUUAGAAGCAGCCAUCAUUUAAAGAAAGCGUAAUAGCUCACUGGUCGAGUCGGCCUGCGCGGAAGAUGUAACGGGGCUAAACCAUGCACCGAAGCUGCGGCAGCGACACUUUAGUGUUGUUGGGUAGGGGAGCGUUCUGUAAGCCGUCGAAGGUGUCCUGUGAGGGGUGCUGGAGGUAUCAGAAGUGCGAAUGCUGACAUAAGUAACGAUAAAGCGGGUGAAAAGCCCGCUCGCCGGAAGACCAAGGGUUCCUGUCCAACGUUAAUCGGGGCAGGGUGAGUCGACCCCUAAGGCGAGGCCGAAAGGCGUAGUCGAUGGGAAACGGGUUAAUAUUCCCGUACUUGGUGUUACUGCGAAGGGGGGACGGAGAAGGCUAUGUUGGCCGGGCGACGGUAGUCCCGGUUUAAGCGUGUAGGCUGGUUUUCCAGGCAAAUCCGGAAAAUCAAGGCUGAGGCGUGAUGACGAGGCACCACGGUGCUGAAGCAACAAAUGCCCUGCUUCCAGGAAAAGCCUCUAAGCAUCAGGUAACAUCAAAUCGUACCCCAAACCGACACAGGUGGUCAGGUAGAGAAUACCAAGGCGCUUGAGAGAACUCGGGUGAAGGAACUAGGCAAAAUGGUGCCGUAACUUCGGGAGAAGGCACGCUGACACGUAGGUGAAGUGAUUUACUCAUGGAGCUGAAGUCAGUCGAAGAUACCAGCUGGCUGCAACUGUUUAUUAAAAACACAGCACUGUGCAAACACGAAAGUGGACGUAUACGGUGUGACGCCUGCCCGGUGCCGGAAGGUUAAUUGAUGGGGUCAGCGCAAGCGAAGCUCCUGAUCGAAGCCCCGGUAAACGGCGGCCGUAACUAUAACGGUCCUAAGGUAGCGAAAUUCCUUGUCGGGUAAGUUCCGACCUGCACGAAUGGCGUAAUGAUGGCCAGGCUGUCUCCACCCGAGACUCAGUGAAAUUGAACUCGCUGUGAAGAUGCAGUGUACCCGCGGCAAGACGGAAAGACCCCGUGAACCUUUACUAUAGCUUGACACUGAACAUUGAGCCUUGAUGUGUAGGAUAGGUGGGAGGCUUUGAAGCGUGGACGCCAGUCUGCGUGGAGCCGACCUUGAAAUACCACCCUUUAAUGUUUGAUGUUCUAACGUGGACCCGUGAUCCGGGUUGCGGACAGUGUCUGGUGGGUAGUUUGACUGGGGCGGUCUCCUCCUAAAGAGUAACGGAGGAGCACGAAGGUUGGCUAAUCCUGGUCGGACAUCAGGAGGUUAGUGCAAUGGCAUAAGCCAGCUUGACUGCGAGCGUGACGGCGCGAGCAGGUGCGAAAGCAGGUCAUAGUGAUCCGGUGGUUCUGAAUGGAAGGGCCAUCGCUCAACGGAUAAAAGGUACUCCGGGGAUAACAGGCUGAUACCGCCCAAGAGUUCAUAUCGACGGCGGUGUUUGGCACCUCGAUGUCGGCUCAUCACAUCCUGGGGCUGAAGUAGGUCCCAAGGGUAUGGCUGUUCGCCAUUUAAAGUGGUACGCGAGCUGGGUUUAGAACGUCGUGAGACAGUUCGGUCCCUAUCUGCCGUGGGCGCUGGAAGACUGAGGGGGGCUGCUCCUAGUACGAGAGGACCGGAGUGGACGCAUCACUGGUGUUCGGGUUGUCAUGCCAAUGGCACUGCCCGGUAGCUAAAUGCGGAAAAGAUAAGUGCUGAAAGCAUCUAAGCACGAAACUUGCCCCGAGAUGAGUCUUCCCUGAGACUUUGAGUCUCCUGAAGGAACGUUAAAGACGAUGACGUUGAUAGGCCGGGUGUGUAAGCGCAGCGAUGCGUUGAGCUAACCGGUACUAAUGAACCGUGAGGCUUAACCUUACAACGCCGAAGCUGUU